UUUACUAAACUGUCAGCUAAGUGGCGCACGGGUGAGUAAUAUAUAGUUAAUCUGCCCCAAAGAAGAGAAUAAUUGUUGGAAACGACUUGUAAUGCUCUAUAUGCCUUUAUCACAUAAGUGAGCAAGGGAAAUAUUUAUAGCUUUGGGAUGAGACUGUACGGUAUCAGCUAGUUGGUGAGGUAAUGGCUCACCAAGGCUAUGACAUCUAACUGGUUUGAGAGGAUGAUCAGUCACACUGGAACUGAGACACGGUCCAGACUCCUACGGGAGGCAGCAGUGGGGAAUAUUGCACAAUGGAGGAAACUCUGAUGCAGCAACGCCGCGUGGAGGAUGACACAUUUCGGUGCGUAAACUCCUUUUAUAUGAGAAGAUAAUGACGGUAUCAUAUGAAUAAGCACCGGCUAACUCCGUGCCAGCAGCCGCGGUAAUACGGGGGGUGCAAGCGUUACUCGGAAUCACUGGGCGUAAAGAGAAUGUAGGCUGGUAAUUAAGUUGGAAGUGAAAUCCUAUGGCUCAACCAUAGAACUGCUUCCAAAACUGAUUGCCUAGAAUAUGGGAGAGGUAGAUGGAAUUUCUGGUGUAGGGGUAA
rnacentral:rRNA from 1 species